UACGGAGGGUGCAAGCGUUGUUCGGAAUCACUGGGCGUAAAGCGCACGUAGGCGGAUGUGUCAGUCAGGGGUGAAAUCCCGGAGCUCAACUUCGGAACUGCCUUUGAUACAGCACGUCUUGAGUCCGAUAGAGGUGGGUGGAAUUCCUAGUGUAGAGGUGAAAUUCGUAGAUAUUAGGAAGAACACCGGUGGCGAAGGCGGCCCACUGGAUCGGUACUGACGCUGAGGUGCGAAAGCGUGGGGAGCAAACAGG
rnacentral:rRNA from 1 species